CUGCCCUGCAGGGAGUUCCACUUUCUUUCACAAUCUAAUCCAGAAAGACUCAGCUUCACAAAAAGCUUUUCACCAGACUUUUCAACCUACCCGUAGAUUAACCACCGGCUGAUGAAGGGCUUCAGCAUCUUUGGAAACUGAAACAGAAUAGACACUACAAACAAAGGUUUCUACACAAGAUGAAGAAAUCAUUGACACCACGUUUGACCAAGGAUGUGAGUGGCUGCAUCAGUGACAGACCUGACUGACUCUGCAUAUCUGAACAAUGGUAUGGACACAGGCACCAGCUGCUGGAUCUGUAGGAUCUGUAGCUGGAUCCCCCACAAAACAGAUACUUUAAACACUCGAUGGCAUGAUAAAGCCAAUGACCACAGAGGUAAUCCCAGCCCAAGUGAGCAUCGCUGAGGGGGUGCCAGUGUAAAUGCGAAUGUUGUUUCUGGCUGAUGGUCACACAGAGCCAAGAAUGUAGCCUAUACUGACUUGUGUCAGCAUAACCGCCAGUGUGACAAAGAUGAUAAUUCCCAAGCUGUGAUAGACAAAGAGAGGAUGAUGAUCAUUGUGAUGGAUAGACUGUCUGAAGCAAGAGACUGUUUAAUGAUAAUCAUGAAGUGGUCUAAACUUUUACUGUAUAUGAUGCUGAAGAUUCUUUGGCCUUCUAGCUCAUUUAGUAGCAGAAUUAUUAUAAAAUUAAUUUAGCAUUGGACAUUUUGUAACAUUCACGAUGGCAACUGCACAGACUUCUUGGAUAAUUGACUGUUUAUACAAAGUAGGUUGAUUCUGUUCAUCUGGACGUAACAUUUUUAAUGGGAGAAACGUUUCACCGCUCAUCUAAGUGACUUCUUGGAAACGUUUCUCCUAUUGAAAACGCUACGUCCAGAUGAACAGAAUCAACUUUUUGGGAUGUAUUUACCUGGAUGAUUGAGCAUGCAUCAAGAUCUUUAUGCAAAACACUUUUCAAAAAACCAAUAAUUUGCCAAAAAAAAUCCAAUAAAAGUAAAAUAAAAACUUAAGAUAAUGAAUAUGACUAUCAGGUUUCAGCAUUGGCUCUGAGUAUGUCAGGACUAAAGGGCAUUUCUGUCUCUUUUAAGAUGUUAACUAGCUUGCCAUAACAGGCCAAUAGUUGGUCCUCUAACUAAUCUAACAUGUCUAGGACAAACCUCAACCCCAAUAUUUAUUGGAUGUUAAAAUAAGUGGCAAAAGUGAGAAGAUUUUAGCAGCUAACCAGACCGAACAGGGAAUGCAAAAGAUACGUUUUUACAGUUAAUCAUCUAGGUCAAAAUUCAUAUUUGAUUGUGCCACCACUUCUCUACUGUGUCCUAGUGUAGACCAUCACACUUUUAACUGAUUUAAUAAUGUUGUUUCAAGAAUGUUUACAUGAGACAUUUUAGAUAGUGGCAUCUUGGAAAAGACCAUAUUUAAAUCUGGGUUAGAAACUUAUGAUAGAUCCUGAAAAAUUCUUUAUGAACCAUCUCACUCUUCUUUUAUUUAAAAGGAAAACAGACUGCUAUUUCAUUUUUAUCUUUUUAUGUUUUUACUCCACUAUAUUAAGCCCAUGUGCUUUAAUAGAAGUACCUUGUCUUGCCUCGUCUUGCAUACUGUCAUUUUUUAUUCCUGCUUUUGCAAACUGUGUGGGCAGGAAACUAUUUGCACCUACACUCCCAACAACCGCAUUAAAGCUUCCAUUCAUUACUGCCUGCACUUUCCACGUGCAGUAUCAGCACACACGUGGCUGAAGCCAAUUAAUCAUCACAGGUUCCCAUCAGUAUUACCUUGAAAUGGCUGUAACUUCCUCUUCAAAGCUGAAAAUAUGUCUGGAUUCUCUUCACGGUAUUCCUUUCAUUGCAAUUAUGCAGUCAUCACCCACAUAAAACAAAGCAAGACUGAAAGAUAUGUGAGAGUUGUUCAACUGUUAGUGAAACUGACAGUUGAACAACUCAAACAUUUAGGUUUGUGGACUAUCUGAGUUGUAAACACCUGCAUAUUUAGGGUCAAGACAUCUUGGAAACACACAAAAUAUUGGAAUGGACUUUACUGGAUGUACGGAAUGAAUUCAUACAGGAACUGCUGAAUGGCACAGAUAAUGAUAUGGAUUUUGAUUGCGAUAUUUUCAUACUUCAGUGCUCAAACAUGUUCAAAAUGCUUUUUGCAUUUUUCUUCUGUCACAUUUUCUCUCGGUUUCAGUCUCAGCAGACGUCUAAAGACUUGUUCUGUACACUUCCUGCAUAUUUCAAAUACUUACGUUUGAUUCCUUUGCUUUUGUUCAACUAUGAUCUUUGGUCGGAAAAAAUCAAAAGAACUUUAUGCAUCUUAGGCAUCAAAAGCAUUAGAAGCAUCUGAAGCAUUGAUCUAUGCGAAACUGAGAACACCAUUAGCAUUACGUCACGCCAACAUAUUUGUACUUACUGCAACCUAAACCUGAUUCUGCACCUUCAUUUUCCAGUCAGUCCCCAAAAAUGUGACUAUACUGGGAUUAAUAUAUAAGAGGAGCCUUUGCAAGAAUUUACUGUUUUACCCCAGUCUUUGUGAUUUAAUGUUAGUUGGCUGAAAAUGUAUAAAUAUCUUUGGGAGUACAGAUAUCCACUUAUAAUUAAAUUCUGCUGCAGGGUGUGCCUAGAUUUUGUGCAAUCAAUUUAAUUAGCAAGAGCCAGCAGAGACAGAGACAGCUGAUGAACCCGAGUCCUUAUUGCAAAACGCCUAGACACAAAGGCAAACACUCAGACAAGCAGUGGGAACCUUGACUGAAUGUGUGGGUGAAUGGAGGAUAACAUGGCUGGGAGAUGUGUCACAAAGAGUUUCACCUUUUUCAUCAGCAAGGUGUGAGAUUCCUAAACACAUUCAUGCUCUCGGAAUCUUUUGGAGCAGUCUUUGAAAAAUACAGCAUGUGAUGAGGCAAGUCACUGGUCGUCUGAUUAACUGUUCACGAACAGCAAAAAUGACUGAAAUUAGACGUCAUACAGAAAUAUCUUGGUGGCCAGUGGGCUGGUCCGGCUCUCUGCCCCAUACUCAGUUUUCUGUGUCCGUGGGUUGGUGGGUUUAUCCGCAAAGGCAGAUUAUGUUUAAGAGACAUGCAGAUCUUAAAGGGUUUGAAAGUGUAGACUGAGACACCGAUUGAGAAAAAGUGUUUAUUUCUGACAACUCAGGUAUUAUGUCAGAGAAAAUCCUGAAAAAACCGUGAACCCGAGCAGUUAGUUAGAAUGGAAAAGUAAGAUUAAAGUAACAUCAAAUUUGUUUGAUAGGAACCACAUGCAAGACCUGAUCAAAAGUCUCCUGGACUCAACCCAUACAACUCAACAUUAUUUCAAUUUUGGCUGAUCUCCCCUUCAAGGUCAUCUUCUUGUGCACUGCUGAGCAGAUCCCUCCAUGGCUGCCGUUGUUUGUAUCCUCCUUGAAAGUCCUGUUAUUACCUCUUUCUUAGCUGUGAUCUUUACAUUAGGUUUUAGCAUUGUUGUUAGAAUUGAAUUCAAAAUCCUGCUCCUCACAUACAAGGUCUUAAAUAAUCAGGCCCCAUCUGAAAUUAAUGACCUUGUAGUACCUUAUCACCCUAUUAGAGCACUUCGC